AGCCAGAAAGCUCCUGUAAACCCCCUUUUAAGACCUAGCUCGUAUGUCAUUUCCUCUGGGAGUCUUUUUCUGACAACGUUAGGCAGGAUUGGUGUGACUCCUUCCUCUGUACUUGUAAAGCACUCAGUUAAUAUUUUUGUUGCAGAAUUUUUGUACUGAAUUUUAAUGAUUUACUUUAAUUAUCUGUCUCUCUUACCCACAGCAGGUUAGAUUCCUGGAGAGUAAGGACUCCCUGCUUCACUUGUUCUGCCUUCAGCUUCUAUCCCUUGGCCUGGAGCACAAACUUGUACAAAACAGAAAAUGUACAGCUUGGUGAUGUUCCCAAAAUGAGCCUGUAUGCAAUCACCACUCAGAGGAAAAAGUGGAAUCCUGUCAACAGUCUGGAAGCUGCUCUCUACCCCGUCCAGGCACUGCCCUUCCCCCCUCCCAGAGUGCUGAGUAAUAUUCCAUGUACUAUGGUUUAUUUAUCCAGUCACCUACUGAAGGACAUCUUGGUUGCUUUCAAGUUUGUGUGAUUAUAGACAAAGCUGCUAUAAAUAUCUGUGUGCAGAUUAUUUUGGUGGGCAUAAGUUUUCAACUUCUUUGGCUCAGCCUGUGUCAGGCUCCCUAUGCUGUGAGGAAGAGACAUUCUUUUACCUACCUGAGGCUCAAGGAAUCCCUCCCAACCAGAUGAGAAGCUGCUGCAGUUGGGACCGUUCCCCAGCUCUACCAGAAGCAGCAUCACAGAGCGAACAUGGCAGAGCUCCUGGAGCCCGUGUAUGAUGUCUGCGUCUGCCAGACAGGGGGCACGUGCCCCUUCUGCCAUUCUAGUUCAUCAGAUCUCAGACUGCUUCUCUCUUGGCAGCUUCUACUCUAAAGUUGAAGCACAACUUGAUGGGGCUCAUGUUGAAGUUCAAAGCAGUCUGGCAACUGAUUAAAAAUGUCUU